UCGAGAAUUUUUCUCAAUGGGCGAAAGCCUGAAGGAGCGACGCCGCGUGGGGGAUGAAUGGCUUCGGCCCGUAAACCCCUGUCAUUUGCGAACAAAUUGAUUCACCUAACACGUGAAGCAUUGAUUGUAGCGGAAGAGGAAGGGACGGCUAACUCUGUGCCAGCAGCCGCGGUAAUACAGAGGUCCCAAGCGUUGUUCGGAUUCACUGGGCGUAAAGGGUGCGUAGGCGGCCAGGUAAGUUUGAUGUGAAAUCCCACAGCUCAACUGCGGAACUGCAUUGAAUACUAUCCGGCUUGAGGAAUGGAGGGGAGACUGGAAUUCUCGGUGUAGCAGUGAAAUGCGUAGAUAUCGAGAGGAACACCAGUGGCGAAGGCGAGUCUCUGGACAUUUCCUGACGCUCAGGCACGAAAGCCAGGGGAGCAAACGGGAUUAGAUACCCGUGUAGUCC
rnacentral:rRNA from 1 species